ensembl:rRNA 5S_rRNA 5S ribosomal RNA
AUCUAUGGCUAUAUCACUUUGAAUGUGUCUGAUCUCAUCUGAUCUCAAAGGUUAAGUAGACUUGGGUCUGGUUAGUAGGUUGGAUAGGAGAUGACACAGAUA